rnacentral:lncRNA from 1 species
GCCGGACUCUGCAUGAGUCACCGCCUGCCUGCAAGCCCAGAGCUCGCCGCACCCCCCUGCCUCUCCGCACCGUCCCACAGGCUGUGACCCUCCACCCAGCCAUAGACGGUUCUGCUCUUGGCACAAAGGAGGGCUUCUUAGCCGGGAAUAUGGCUGCCCGGGAGGGGCGACUUCUGUGCUUGUUUUUCCUUCCUGGCACUGAAAACAAGCACAUCCACCCAACAAAUAAAGACGCGGUCAAUGAAAGCAGCUGUGUUUCAAGGGGAGACAGGGAGCAAGCCAAGGAAUAAAUGAAAAGACCCAGUGACAAAAUGCCCAUUCAUCGGGUUCACUCGGCAAACAUUUACUGAAGCAUCUGUGUGCCAGGCACUGUCCUGAGUGCUGGGAAGACACAAAGAUGCCCUUCAGAACGAUGACCCCCGCCUCGCCCUCCGCUGGAACCGGGAGGCAGACACACACAUAAAUACGACACAGUCAACCGUCCCCAGUUCACAGCAUCUAAAGGAGCUAGGAAUGCAUGGGAUGCUUAUGGAAUGUGCGAGAACACGGGUGAGUCUCACAAAAAGAAUGUACACGGAGUACAUACUGUCGGAUUCCAUUUCUAUCAACUCCUGAAGCCUGCAGAGCUAACACCUACUGCUGGAGGGCAAGGCAGUAGCUGCUUGUUGGGGUAGGAGAUGAGGAGAACACCAAGUGGGCUUCUGGAAUGCUGGACACCCGUGUAGAGACAAAGUCUCACUGUGUUCCCAGGCUGAUCCCCAACUCCUGAGCUCAAGCCAGCCACCAGCCUUGGCCUCCCAAAGUGCUGGGAUUACAGGCGUGAGCCACCACGCCGGGCCCAGAUGAACAGUCUUAUGAAUCAAUUUCAUUUCCAAGAGCCCUGUUGGACUUCAUGGCUGAGACAGAGCUGAGAGCAGAGAAAACAGACUCAUAAAAUCCUGGCAGAAUCUUUCCAUUCUAAUAGAGAAAAGAGGAAGGUAUGGAAAAGAGUGAAAUUGGCAUAAAAAAUCCAAUAAAGGGCAACGAGCAGGAAACAACAAAAACAUGGGAAACUGCCGACCUGAGGAAUCGCGCUCUUCUAACUUUACAGCUUCACCUGCCGUGUUUGCUCCUGGAGGACUGAGACUUUUGUCUGAUUCGUCUGCUGCUGUCUUCCCGAUGCCUAGAACACUGCCUGAUGCACGGGAAGUAUUUGUCAGAUACAUCCCAUGGCUUCUAAUGCCAUUUGCAAGGAUGAAAGCUGGGUGUGCCCGGCUGUACGGCAAUACUUCCAAAGGCCUGUAGGACUCCCCAGUGACUGUCCCAUUCACCAGGAGGAGGACUGCAGUCACCUGCAUUGUCCUGGGAAGGUCAGCCAGGCCUUUUCCCAAUGUCUGUCUGGGAAAAGCCCCGGUGUAGUCUGCUCGGUCCUACACCCAGAAUCACGGGGGCUUCAGGAGCAGGCAUUACGAGGCAAGGAGUAGCUUCUCCCCCUCACCUCCCACUCAGCAGAACGCACUAGCCCUGUGCUCUUCUGAUCCUGAAGGCAGCUGAGUCUGAAAAGUUCCUGUACCUUUAAAGGUACUAGAGGCAGUGUGGUGCCCACUCAGGAACUGCAUGAUUUAAAUAGGUUUCUAGGAUAAAGGCAACUCGUAGCACAAAGGAACAAGUCCCAGGGAGUGGCAUUCCAGAUCAUUUGAUUCCUGAGCGAAGGAAUUAUUAUGGUGUGGAGGUGGGGACCUCCUUACUACAUUCCAAAUUGCAAUAAGGUUGUAAGGGUUUUCUCUUCCAUUCUGAAGUACUUUGACAAUAGUUUUGAACUUCAAAAAUGUUUAUUAAAGGUGUUUUCACAGCAGUUUCAUAAUGUUUAAUUUGUUAAUUACUGGAAUUGAUGCUAAAUAAAACAGGCAAGUAAUACUUCAGAUGGCUUCAUCUUCAGAGUCUUCUUCAUGUGUGACUCAAAAUGCACAAUUUUGGCCGGGCACAGUGGCUCACGCCUGUAAUCCCAGCACUUUGGGAGGCUGAGACAGGCGGAUCACCUGAGGUCAGGAGUUUGAGACCAGUUUGGCCAACAUGGUGAAACCCCAUCUCUACUAAAAAUACAAAAAUUAGAUGGGCAUGGUGGUGUGUGCCUGUAAUCCCAGCUGCUUGGGAAGCUGAGGCAGGAGAAUUGAUUGAACCCAAGAGGCGGGGCUUGCAGUGAGCCGAGAUCCCGCUCCAGCCUGGGCAACAAGAGCGAGACUCCGUCUCAAAAAAAGAAAAAAAAAGCACAAUUUCAGGACAGCCUAAGCAAAUAAAAAAUGGGAAAUGGAAAUGGAUUCGAAGCAGGGAGGACGUUCCGCCCACUGUCACACCGAAGGAAUGGUGGAGGCUGUGAGUCCUCCGCCCACUGUCACACCGAAGGAUGGUGGAGGCUGUGAGUCCUCCUGUAAGCCGCCGCUGGAGAAGGGGCAGCUCUGGAACCUGACGACAUUCUCCUAUCUUGCAUGAGGUGGAGACAAAGAGUCCUUCUGCGCUGGGACAGGAUGAGGGCGAAGUGGUGACUUCAGGUCAGAAGCAGAGCCUUGGGGACCUCUGAUUCUCAAGGGCGAGCUCCCUCCAGAACCCCAAGAGAUGGCCCUGACUGCAUGGGAAAGCGUGUCUCACCAUUGCAAUGUUCUCUAAGUCUGGAGGAGGCGGAGCCCAGUGAGAAUGACAGGCAGACCGCAAGGAGGCCCGGAAGCCCCCCAUGGCGAGGAUGCAUCCAAGUGUAUUCUGUAGGAGUGACCAGUGGCCACGUGGGUAGUGGGCAGAGCUUGUUUUCCUCCAAUAUCAGCGUACAGAGCAGGGGAGCCUGGUGAAGGUUUCUCUCUGAAAUCAUGGAUUCAGCUGUAUUAGUUUCUAUCCAAGGCUGGCAUAGCUCACCUUCCACUCCAGCAAUGACCUCGGGCCAGCUGUCACGAGCCUUCUCACCACGAGGAUGGUCUGGGGUGGUGAGAUCUCACUGUUGGCCAUAAUUCAUUCAACAUUUCUUCACUUCUCUGCUUAAUUUUGGUCGAAUGUCAUGC